rnacentral:rRNA from 1 species
GAUGAACGCUGGCGGCGUACUUAACACAUGCCAGUCGAACGGGAAUUAUUUUAUUGAAACUUCGGUCGAUUUAAUUUAAUUCUAGUGGCGGACGGGUGAGUAACGCGUGGGUAACCUGCCUUAUACAGGGGGAUAACAGUCAGAAAUGGCUGCUAAUACCGCAUAAGCGCACAGAGCUGCAUGGCUCAGUGUGAAAAACUCCGGUGGUAUAAGAUGGACCCGCGUUGGAUUAGCUGGUUGGUGGGGUAACGGCCCACCAAGGCGACGAUCCAUAGCCGGCCUGAGAGGGUGAACGGCCACAUUGGGACUGAGACACGGCCCAGACUCCUACGGGAGGCAGCAGUGGGGAAUAUUGCACAAUGGGGGAAACCCUGAUGCAGCGACGCCGCGUGAAGGAAGAAGUAUCUCGGUAUGUAAACUUCUAUCAGCAGGGAAGAUAGUGACGGUACCUGACUAAGAAGCCCCGGCUAACUACGUG